GAAAAACCUUAACGCCGUAAGCCCAAGGUUUCCUGAUCAAUGUUAAUCAGAUCAGGGUUAGUCGGGUCCUUAGGCAAAGCCGAAAGGCGUAGUUGAUGGCAAGUUGGUUAAUAUUCCAACACGCACUUUAAAUUCGAUGGAGUGACAGGGAAGUGAAAGGUCCGCGAUCUUACGGAAUAGAUCGUUAAAGGGUGUAGU
rnacentral:rRNA from 1 species